rnacentral:rRNA from 1 species
UACCAGCACCCCGAGUGGUCGGGACGUUUUAUUGGGCCUAAAGCAUCCGUAGCCGGUUCUACAAGUCUUCCGUUAAAUCCACCUGCUUAACAGAUGGGCUGCGGAAGUACUAUAGAGCUAGGAGGCGGGAGAGGCAAGCGGUACUCGAUGGGUAGGGGUAAAAUCCGUUGAUCCAUUGAAGACCACCAGUGGCGAAGGCGGCUUGCCAGAACGCGCUCGACGGGUGAGGGAUGAAAGCUGGGGGGAGCAAACCGG